GCUGGGUGUGGUGGCUCACACCUGUAAUCCCAGCAUUUUGGGAGGCUGAGGUGGGUGGAUCACCUGAGGUCAGGAGUUCAAGACCAGCCUGGCCAACAUGGUGAAACCCUAUCUCUA
rnacentral:SRP_RNA from 1 species